rnacentral:tRNA from 1 species
GCCUUUGUGGUGUAGUGGUCAGCACGGCUCGACGCGUAACCGAAAGGUCCAUGGUUCGAUUCCCGGCGAAGGUG